UCUUGUGGUUGUUCAGCGUCGCUCCUGACGAAGGGCCUUUGCUCGAAACGUCGAGAAGAUAUUUUGAUCUUUUAUAGGCUUGCGUGUACCUCCACUACAAAGAUUCUAUUGAAUACAAUUGUAUAAUACUACAUUAAAAUUAGAUUAAAAGGCGAAUUAGACGCAAGGUUAGACAAUGUCUUUUAUAUUGCAUUUAAUAAUUCACGCAAAUCCUUUGUGGCCUAAAUUGGGUGGCGGAAAAGUGCGGUUUCUGGGAGGUAUAGGCCUCCCAGAACAGCUGGAGAAACAACGUCAGGAUGAGGGUAUAGGCCCAGUCACCGUUAUGGACAUUGAAUCCCAUGUCCGGGCCUGGCUUUCCCGUGGUGAAGUGAGAGAAACGGAGAGAGCCAAGGUCAGGUCGAGGGUAAGGGGCCCCCGGCGUUAUGGACCUUGCUCUCCUUGCUGGUGUGUGUGUGCUUCACCGUGGGCAAAGUGUGGCCGAAUGGACACCACCUUCCGCCCCGUUCCGUUUAUUUCUCAAAAUAUGUAGAAUUAGUUACAAAUUGGAUGUACGAUAUUUACAUGUCUCUUUCACCAUUGAAUAGUUAGAUAUGAAUACAAAUGUUUGCUA